AGACCUGUAGCGGGGCUCGUCCCUGUUCUCCGCUCCACUGAUGCCUGCAGAGAGCCAGCGCCCUUUCCUCCUGGUCUGUGCCUGGCUCUUUUGCCUGGUGGUAGAGGGAGGAGGGGGCUGGCUGGUUUUUAGUUCCCUGGGCUUACAAGACCCACAGAAUCCAUUUUUCCCCUUCUGAGGGCUGUUUUUGCUGCACAUCUUGGGGAGGGGGGCACGCAUGGAACCUCAGCAGGAGAGAGAUGAGUGCUAGGGCACUGCCUCCAGUUGGCCCCCGUUCUUCCUCCCACGUUGCCAUCAGGCAGUAAGCAGUACUAUCUUUGUCUUUUUUUUUUUUUUUUGUCUUUUUAGGGCCGAACCCGCGGCAUAUGGAAGUUCCCAGGCUAGAGGUCUAAUUGGAGUUACAGCCGGCCAGAGCUCACGGUAACGCCAGAUCCUUAACACACAUAGUGAGGCCAGGGAUCAAACCUGCAACCUCAUGGUUCCUAGCUGGGUUCAUUGCUGCUGCUCCAUGACGGGAACUCCUUUAUCUUCUUAAAAUCCUAAGAGUUUGGAUAGCUGGAUAGAAAAGACUAGUAAACAUACCCUUUUUUUCUUUUUUAAGUGAUUUUUCUUUUUUCUUUUUUUUCUUUUUUUUUUGGUCUUUUUGCCUUUUCUAGGGCCACUCCCACAGCAUCUGGAGGUUCCCAGGCUAGGGGUCGAACUGGAGCUGCAGCCGCCGGCCUACAGGAUCUGAGCCACAUCUGCGACCUACACCACAGCUCGUGGCAACGCUGAUCCUUAACCCACUGAGCAAGGCCAGGGAUCGAACCUGCAACCUCAUGGUUCCUAGUCAGAUUCGUUAACCACUGCGCCACAACGGGAACUCCGAUUUUUUAUUUUUUCUAUUGUACUUGGUAACAUAUCCUUUUUUAGGCUUGGCUGUUUUUCCUACAAGUUUUGAUUGAAUUUGUAUAAAUACAACUUGAAUGAUACUCAUUCUAAAUUUACUUUCUCCAUUUUGUUCCCCAAAGCAGUAAUAAACACAAGCAUGGGUAGACCACUAGGAAAAGCAGAAAUUGAUCCCGUAGGCUAUGGGAGCCAAAUAAUAUUUUGGGAAGGCUUUCGUUUCAAACAGUUUAUUUCACUGGGCGCACUUUAUGAAAUUACAUCUGUAUGAAUGUAUGCGUGAGGUAUAACCAUAUCCUACUGAAUUUGGAAAAUAUGUUCAUGUUUCUAAGGAAAAUUUACAAGUCUUCUUCCUGUAAUGCCUGUCGUCCUACUUACCAUCCCCAGGGACUCAGUCUUUUUUCAGGCCUACUUGAGAGGAAUUUCAGCAUCUCUCUGGUAGUUCAUUGUCUUAUCAUUUGAAGUUAACUCAUUGACCGAAUGUUGUUCUGUGUGUGUUUAGCUUUCACAGUUUAGGAGCUACCAAAGUUUUUGAAACAGGGAUAGUAAUCACCAGUAGCUCCAAGUGAGUAAUUUGAGUUAGUACAGUAACUUGUGAUAUAUUCCGAGUUUGUGGGUAGAAAAAAUUGACAAAAGCUCUCUUAAAAGUUACUCUUAGUUUCUAAGGGCUAAUAGCUCUCCAAUAAAGGUAAAGAUAAUUUAGAUCUGACUUCAGUUCCAUAUAGUAAAGUACACCUGUAUCAGAAAGAGCCGAGUUUUUUUGUUUGUUUUUUUUUAAGCCCAUGUGUCAUAGGUGUUUCUGUGAUGGUGGACGUUAUGUCAUUUGAACUGUUCUUGAAUUAGUUUUAUUCAAAAUGUAAUGUAAAAAUGCAAUGUCAUGUUCUAAUUUUGGUUUGAUUUACAGUAAAUGAGCUGGAACUUAUCUCUUUCACUUUAGGCUUUCAGAUAAACUUCUAUGAAAAGGCACAAAGUAAGCUACGCAUUUUAUGAUACUAUGCUACUUAUUUUUUUCGUAUCCAUCUUGGUAUUGGGAGUGUGUCCACUGUUGUUUCAACUAACCAACCAUGGCAGUUUUACUUUAAAAGAGCUUCCAUUUUUCAUUCUUUU
rnacentral:lncRNA from 1 species